rnacentral:misc_RNA from 1 species
GAUGAAGAACGUAGCGAAAUGCGAUAAGUAGUGUGAAUUGCAGAAUUCAGUGAAUCAUCGAAUCUUUGAACGCACAUUGCGCCCCUUGGUAUUCCAUGGGGCAUGCCUGUUCGAGCGUCAUUUGUACCUUCAAGCUUUGCUUGGUGUUGGGUGUUUGUCUCGCCUUUGCGUGUAGACUCGCCUUAAAAUAAUUGGCAGCCGGCGUAUUGAUUUCGGAGCGCAGUACAUCUCGCGCUUUGCACUCAUAACGACAGCGUCCAAAAGUACAUUUUACACUCUUGACCUCGGAUCAGGUAGGGAUACCCGCUGAACUUUAGCAUAUCAAUAAGCGGAGGA